ACAUAAUUUCAAAAAUAAUUUUCUAGCAUUUUCUCUCUCCUCCUUCAUUCGACAGUUUCGACACUCCAAAUCUUCUUUCCUCUUUCAAUUUCUCUGCUCCCUUUCAACUGCUAUUUGCUUUGAUUCUUCAUCAAUUCUUCUUCAAACUUCAUUGAUUCUUUGUCAAGGUGAUUUUCGUUGAUAUUAGUUUGAUUUUCGUUAUCUUACAUAUUUUCGUUUUUUUCGAAAAAACCUAGAUAUCACGCUUAUUUGUGCUAUUACGUUGAUUUUAGUUUGAUUUUAGGUUUAUUUGAAUAAUUAUUAAGUUGAUUUUAGUUUUUUUGAGUAAUUAUUUUUUAUUUGUGUUUUUACCUUGAUUUUUGUUUGAUUUUUCGGAUUAAUUUUUUCAAUUGUGUUUAAUUUUUCUGCUUAAUUGUAUUAAUUUCGUGUUCUUAUUCUUUGAAUUGUUUGGAUUUUGAGGAUUAUUCUAAUUGUUACUUGAGGGAACUUCAACUUCUCCAUUUAAGCAAUUUCUGAGUUCCUCUUCUAAUCCAUUGAAACUAUUCCAUGAGGUAAGAUAUUCUUUCGACGGAAAGUGAUAGGAUGUGAUGAGGUUGGAAGGAUAGGUGAGGAUGUCAUCACCUUCAAAAACCCAAUUUGAAGGGACCCAAGUAUGCAGAACAAUCCGUUGUUGAAGUUGAUAGUAGUGGUCUAUGGAAGGAAGAUGCUCCUGAGCUUAAACAUUGUUGGGCCCAACCAAGUUUGGUUGGAGACUAAUCUAAGGGAUAUGUUACUUUCUCCUUGACGGAUGGUCCAGAAUACCAUGUCUCACAGUAGUUGAGUUGAUUCCAAGACUUGGAGCAUGGAGGCUUUUCAAAGACAUUCGAAGAAAAAUACAUUGCUUAUAAUGGACGUAUUCAAGGAGGAUUCAAGUCUUGAAGAUUACAUGAAGAAAAGAAGAUUUGUACUUUAAUGAUUAAUCUAGUUUUAUCAUGUAAUGUGCUCCGUAGUAUGACUUGCAUGUUUGGGUAAAAUAAGUGCUUAUAAGUGUAUUGAGGUAUAUAAUGAAUUCUGGUACAAAGCUGGAACAUAAUUCAUAACAUACUCAAUUCAGGGAACCAGGUUCACUGUACGGAAUAUCCAUGCUGCGUGUUUUGAAAAGGAUUUUGUAACAAUAUUUUUCAAAAGAUUAUCUUGAAAAUAUUCUAAGCAGCUGGAAAUUAGAUGAUAA